AAUUGCCCUGAAUAUUGUUUAUUAAAUCUUCUGUUUUUAAAUGUAUAAAUCAGCCUGAUUUUGAUUUGUCUGUUUUUUUGUCUAUAUAGUUGUCCUCGGCUCCCAAGGGUCGUGUUGCUUCUUCCACCUCUGCUAAGAAAAUAGACAGCGAGAACAUUCCAAAGUAAAAACAAAGCAUUUGUUUAUUUUUUUUAGAGAACGAUUCAUAUGAGAUACUUUAGAUGAGAUAGUUAGAAGAUACUCCAUCCAUCUAAUUUUUAUCUUGAGAUUUGUGAAUACAUAUUAUCUCAAUCUCGAGACAAUGAUUUAGUGGUUGAGAUUUUAUCUCUCACCAUUAUUUCAUCUAAUGUAUCUCAUAUGAAUCUACUCCUAUUUUUUUAUUGUUCAGAAAUAAGUAGAUUAUGUGUAUUGUAGGUCUGUAGCUCCUGAGACAUCUGAAGUCGAUGACUUGGAAAAGAGAUUGGCGUCACUUCGUCGAUUAUGAUCUUACUUUGUUUAGGGUUUGAUAUGUUGUCAUUAUCAUGAUUUGAAGCUGAUGAUGUCAUGCUGGAGUUAUGUGCUGCUUUGAACCAUGACUAAGGUUUGUUAUGUUAUCAUUAUAAGAAUAAAUAAGAGCAGGAGUUCAGGAAGAUUGAAGGUCGUUGUAUGGAAACUGUAGUGUAACAACAACUUACCAAACCCAUUAAUACUAUAUGGAAUAAUAUAUUGGUAAUAUGACAUACUUUUGUGGAUUUAUAACAUAUAUAUUUGUACUUUGAACUACUUUUCUACAAAUAGAAAUAUAUAUUUAGGAAUGUUAACCAAGAUUCGUUCGAAUAAACGAAUCGAAUAUUUUAAGUUUGGUUUGUUUAAUAUUUAAUUAUUUAAAUGUGUAUUUUAACUUUUAAGCUAUUCAUUGUUAAAAAAUAAACAUGUUAAAAAAAUAUUUUCAAAAACAAAAAAACAUUAAUUCAUCUUUUGUUUAGUUUAUAGUUUAUUUUAUUUUGUUGUUUCAAUUUUUAGUUUAUCUUUUCUUCUUGUUCAUUGAAAAUCUUACAUUGAAAUUUAUUUUCAACAUAUCAUCAUCCUAAUAAAAAUGUUAAACAUAACAAACCAUUUGUCGAACUUCAAUUUUAACAUAGCAAAUCGAACAAUCUCUAAAUGACAUAUCAGAAUCAUAUAUUAUUGAUUCCAUAAUGAAAAUUAUGUAGAGACUAGAAUUUUGAAUCUUCAAAUUUUUUAAUAGUUAUUGUGAACUCUGUCAUCAUUUGAAUUAAUUUCUCUUAUUUUUAAUUGACAAUUCACAUAGUAUGUUAGAAUUUACCAUUAUCUUAAUAAUGAUUAACUCAUUAAUCAUUAUUAGUUUUAAAAGAAGAAAAAAAUCAUUAAUAAUACAAAAUGUAGUGAUUAAAUGUAGUAGUCUUAGAUCAAGUUAAACAAAAGAUUUAUAGGAAGACGAACGUUUUUAACCAAUGAGAAAAAUAAAACAGAGAAAGUUUUCGUAUAAGCUUUAUGACAACAUUAAACAAUGUAUAGGGAUAUAAUCAUUUUAUUCCUGUACGAUGUUAAAUGUUGGCAUAAAGCUCAUAAAGUUAUUGUCUCCGUAGAUUUUUCCAGUUUCCAUCAUUCAAAAAUAAAAACACAUACAGCAAAGUAGCAAACAGAUGACAUAAAAAGAGCACAACAACCUACCUGGAUUUGAUUGGACGGAUGGAUAUCUGUGACUGAGAAUCUAGUAAAAGGAGGGGCAGUGUAGGUUUGUGCAUAUAAAUAUUCAAGUUAGAGAGAAAUUAGGGUUACGAAAGAUUUGGAAACCAGUAAGAGCCCAUCUAGAAUAGGUAGGCCGUAGGCAGUAAGGUUCCCCAUUGGGUCCGAUCCAACAGGAAUACAUCUGCAAUCUUUUAUUCGACACUUGUGAAACGAAAUUCAGAAAAUAAAUAGUUUAGAAGAAGAAGAAAAAGGUAAAUGACAAGAGAAUUUCAUAAUUUUAGGUUUCAAUACAUACGAAAUUACCAAUCCGUAAAUAUUAACAUUAUUUUAUGAAAAGUUGAAAACAAAUAAAUUACUAAUUAACUACUUAGUUUUUACUUUUGAUAAUUGUAACUUUUAUAUAGAGAGAUUAGAAAGAGAAGUGAAAAUAAUUCAUAUAGCAUUAUCUCAUUUGAAUCUAUCAUUAUAUGUAUAUCAACAUUUUUUGUUAAAUACUCAAAAUAAGAUAUUUUGUGAGAUAUUAGUAGAUUCGUGGUAUCACGACUUCAUGAAGAUUUAGAUAUUAAUGAAAAGAUCACCGACGACGACAUAAACACCGACGAGGAGUUUGACUGUAGGCCCGUCCGAACCAGGCGUAACAAACUGGACAAUAAUUACAUCUAUUAUUAAAUCUAAUUCUAUUGCAAUUAAUUAGAGUUGUUAUGAAUUGGUGGCCAUGGAAAUAGAAAAGACACCCAUUUUUGGGUAUCCAAUUUAUCGAACAAUCAAAAUCCUUCUCGUCUCUGGCUUCCUCGAGAGAAUUCAUGUCCAACCUCCGACUCCCAUUGGGAGAAUACCCUCUGUCGUGUGUUUCUCCUGAAUCACUUACAACUCUUAAGGAAUUGAUCAAUUUAAGGAAUCACUUCACCUGGGAAGAAGUGUGUCUCUGGUCCAGCGAUUAGUGAAUCACGGAUACCUAGAGACGAGCGCAGCGAGGAUAUACCUCUGAUAUCAAGACUCAGUCCGUUACAGAGGAUAGUUGUGAAGCUGUCUGUUCGGAAACUUGAUGCGACUGGAUGAAUGACGAGUGCGAAAGCGACGGUGGAUGAAUUCUUAUCUACUGUCGGAGGAGAUGGAGGUGGUUGAUAAAAAAAAUAAAACUGUUUUAGAAAAGAUUGGUUGCUUUUUUCAUUCACUCAUAAAAUGCUUAAAUAGAUCAAAGUUAGUAACCGUUGGAAGUUACUUCCAU
rnacentral:lncRNA from 1 species